rnacentral:ncRNA from 1 species
CACCGCCGGUCACACUACACGAGCUGACCAUGCGCAAUGUUGUAACCUUAACCACAAGAAAGGGGAUAUCGUUGACACGGCUAGUGACUGGAGUGAAGUCGUAUAAAGGUAACUGUACUGGAAUGUGCAGCUG